rnacentral:other from 1 species
UUUACCCUGCGGUGACCGUGACCCUCUUGAAGUUUUGAGCCAACACUUUCACCUUGGGAGCCCGGGCUCUAACUGUGGCUUACAUGCCUUGCAACGAAGGAAGUAAAAAGCAGUUAGGAGGGCACCCACCUGUCGAGGACGGGUUCAAAGGAAACUUUGGGAGUUCACGGCAUCUGCGGGGUCUCU